AAUGAACGCUGGCGGCAGGCCUAACACAUGCAAGUCGAACGGGUCCUUCGGGACUAGUGGCGGACGGGUGAGUAACGCGUGGGAACAUACCCAAAGGUACGGAAUAGCCUCUGGAAACGGAGAGUAAUACCGUAUGUGCCCUUCGGGGGAAAGAUUUAUCGCCUUUGGAUUGGCCCGCGUUGGAUUAGGUAGUUGGUGGGGUAAUGGCCUACCAAGCCGACGAUCCAUAGCUGGUUUGAGAGGAUGAUCAGCCACACUGGGACUGAGACACGGCCCAGACUCCUACGGGAGGCAGCAGUGGGGAAUCUUAGACAAUGGGGGAAACCCUGAUCUAGCCAUGCCGCGUGAUCGAUGAAGGCCUUAGGGUUGUAAAGAUCUUUCAGGUGGGAAGAUAAUGACGGUACCACCAGAAGAAGCCCCGGCUAACUCCGUGCCAGCCGCCGCAGUAACAC
rnacentral:rRNA from 1 species